CCUCCUUGAUUUCACAAUGUGAUUUUUAGUAGUACAAUUACAUAGCAAGAUAAUACAUACUAAACAAAUUAAUCAUUUAAUAAAUUAAUACAUGCAUUUAGGUUAAUCGGUAUAUAAUUUUCACAAUAAAGUAAUCACCAGUAUAUAGUACAUGAUCGGGUGAUAUAUUCUAAGUAAAUUAAUCAUCAAAUAAGAUAAUACACAUCUUUUGGUAAACCAAUACAUAUUUAUCAAAAUUUAGAAUUCACUAAUAUAUAAUACAUGGCCAAGUGAUAUACAGUUAAUAUUAGUCAUCUAAUAACCCAAUACAUAUCUUUAAAUAACUUGAUAUAUAGUUUCAAAAAUAUUAUAUUCAUCAGUUCAUACUAUAUAACUAGAUAAUAUACACUUAUCAAUUUGCUGCUAUAUACUACAAGCUUCUUUGAUAUACAUCCAGUAGUGAUUCAAUAUAUACCUCCAGAUAAAUCAAUAUAUAAUUUUCAGAAUAUCCUUUUUACUUGGUGUGUAUAGAUCACUACUAGAUACAUAUUAAAAAAGCUUAUGGUAUGUACUAGAAAGUCGUCAAAUAUGUAUCACCUAAUUAUGUAGUGUAUACUGAUAAAUAUAAUAUUUUUAAAAUAAUAUAUCAAUUCGUUUGAAGGUAUAUAU
rnacentral:lncRNA from 1 species